AGUGAACGCUGGCGGUAGGCCUAACACAUGCAGGUCGAACGGCAGCACAGUAAGAGCUUGCUCUUACGGGUGGCGAGUGGCGGACGGGUGAGGAAUACAUCGGAAUCUACUUUUUCGUGGGGGAUAACGUAGGGAAACUUACGCUAAUACCGCUUACGACCUACGGGUGAAAGCAGGGGAUCUUCGGACCUUGCGCGAUUGAAUGAGCCGAUGUCGGAUUAGCUAGUUGGCGGGGUAAAGGCCCACCAAGGCGACGAUCCGUAGCUGGUCUGAGAGGAUGAUCAGCCACACUGGAACUGAGACACGGUCCAGACUCCUACGGGAGGCAGCAGUGGGGAAUAUUGGACAAUGGGCGCAAGCCUGAUCCAGCCAUACCGCGUGGGUGAAGAAGGCCUUCGGGUUGUAAAGCCCUUUUGUUGGGAAAGAAAAGCAGCAGGUUAAUACCCCGCUGUUCUGACGGUACCCAAAGAAUAAGCACCGGCUAACUUCGUG
rnacentral:rRNA from 1 species